GACGAACGCUGGCGGCGUGCUUAACACAUGCAAGUCGAACGGAAAGGCCCCCUUGUGGGGUACUCGAGUGGCGAACGGGUGAGUAACACGUGAGUAACCUACCCUUGACUUUGGGAUAACUUCAGGAAACUGGGGCUAAUACCGGAUAGGAGCUCCUGCUGCAUGGUGGGGGUUGGAAUGUUUCGGCGGUUGGGGAUGGACUCGCGGCUUAUCAGCUUGUUGGUGGGGUAGUGGCUCACCAAGGCUUUGACGGGUAGCCGGCCUGAGAGGGUGACCGGCCACAUUGGGACUGAGAUACGGCCCAGACUCCUAAGGGAGGCAGCAGUGGGGAAUAUUGCACAAUGGGCGGAAGCCUGAUGCAGCAACGCCGAGUGCGGGAUGACGGACUUCGGGUUGUAAACCGCUAUAGCCUGUGACGAAGCGUGAGUGACGGUAAUGGGUAAAGAAGCACCGGCUAACUACGUG
rnacentral:rRNA from 1 species